AUACGUAGGGGGCGAGCGUUGUCCGGAAUGACUGGGCGUAAAGGGCGUGUAGGCGGCCGAUUAAGUCUGGAGUGAAAGUCCUGCUUUCAAGGUGGGAAUUGCUUUGGAGACUGGUUGGCUUGAGUGCGGAAGAGGUAAGUGGAAUUCCCAGUGUAGCGGUGAAAUGCGUAGAGAUUGGGAGGAACACCAGUGGCGAAGGCGACUUACUGGGCCGUAACUGACGCUGAGGCGCGAAAGCGUGGGGAGCGAACAGGAUUAGAUACCCUGGUAGCCCACGCGGUAAACGAUGAAUGCUAGGUGUAGGGGGUAUCGACCCCUCCUGUGCCGGAGUGAACACAAUAAGCAUUCCGCCUGGGGAGUACGGCCGCAAGGUUGAAACUCAAAGGAAUUGACGGGG
rnacentral:rRNA from 1 species